ensembl:lncRNA
GUUGGCAAUGACAGAACUUGGGAAAACAUAAAGAAGAAGGCAAUUGUGCAUGACUCUAAAAUGACCUAUGAAAGGUAAAAGUCAUGAUCCAUCUGGGAAAGUCUAAAGAAAGGAAUUAAAAUGUCUUAACUAUGAAUGUCAAGCCACUUUGGGAAUCAGCUUCCAGAAACUGAAAGAGGCAGAACCUGCCAGUCAGGGCCUGGAGUAUGGAGGUAUUAUGCACAAGCCCUGAAGAAAGAUGGCUGAAAAAAGGCUUUUGACAACAGGAAUAUAUCUUGGUUAAUAAGCUCCUUUGGAAAUCUGAACAAUCUUCCAGGAUGUCUUCUGUUCUCAUUUCCCUUUUCUUAUAUUAAUUAAUUUUCUGAUCACCACUGAUGGAUAUGUUUCAAGUGAGCCAUAGUAUGUCAAACUGAUUUAUAGAAUAAAAUGUCUAUUUACUAUUCCUG